rnacentral:rRNA from 1 species
GACGCCUACGGGGCGCAGCAGUGGGGAAUAUUGGGCAAUGGGCGCAAGCCUGACCCAGCAACGCCGCGUGAAGGAAGAAGGCUUUCGGGUUGUAAACUUCUUUUAUGAGGGACGAAACAAAUGACGGUACCUCAUGAAUAAGCCACGGCUAACUACGUGCCAGCAGCCGCGGUAAUACGUAGGUGGCAAGCGUUAUCCGGAUUUACUGGGUGUAAAGGGCGUGUAGGCGGGACUGCAAGUCAGAUGUGAAAAUUAUGGGCUCAACCCAAAACCUGCCUUUUAAACUGUAGUUUUU